AAAAAUUUAGUUUAAAAAAAACAUUAAUUUGUCAAAUUAAAAAUAUUUUGUAAUAAUUUUUA
rnacentral:tRNA from 1 species